UAAUACGAGGAGGGCGAACGUUGUUCGGAAUCACUGGGCUUAAAGGGCGCGUAGGCGGCCACGUAUGUCGGAGUUGAAAUCCCCCAGCUUAACUGGGGAAUUGGUUUCGAAACUGCGUGGCUUGAGUGCAUCAGGGGCGUGUGGAACUCCAGGUGGAGCGGUGAAAUGCGUAGAUAUCUGGAGGAACGCCGGCGGCGAAAGCGACACGCUGGGGUGCAACUGACGCUGAGGCGCGAAAGCUAGGGGAGCAAACAGGAUUAGAUACCCUGGUAGUCCUAGCUGUAAACGAUGGAUACUAAGUAGCGGUGUCUCCGAUGGCAUCGCUGCCGGAGCGAAAGUAUUAAGUAUCCCGCCUGGGGAGUACGGCCGCAAGGCUA
rnacentral:rRNA from 1 species